GGUGGGAUAGCAAGAAAGCUACGCACAAGGCUUGAGGUUGUGGGUUCGAAUCCCACGGACCGCGCACGCGCAUAUUUUGUGUGAAAAUUACGUGACUUGUGACGUGCGUGUGUGGGAGCUUCCUGGGACCCCAUGGGGAUUUAUUUUUUUUUCAUAUUAUUUGCAAAACCAUUUAUCCCCUUUAGUCCCGGUUGGUAAUGGUAUUAC
rnacentral:lncRNA from 1 species